rnacentral:rRNA from 1 species
GUUGACCUCGGAUCAGGUAGGAUACCCGCUGAACUUAAGCAUAUCAAUAAGCCGGGGA